rnacentral:tRNA from 1 species
UAAUGGUUAGUUUAAUUAAAACAAAUGAUUUCGACUCAUUAAAUUAUGUUUAAAUACAUAACCACUAA